rfam:Danio rerio chromosome 4, GRCz11 reference primary assembly.
GCUGAAAUAGCUCAGUUGGGAGAGUGUUAGACUGAAGAUCUAAAGGUCCCUGGUUAGAUCCAGGCUUUGGUA